AGGCACUCGGUGGAGUGCACGAGUGCAAAAGUGCACGAGGAGCCCUUUAUCAACCGCAGAGGCACAAACCACAGCUCAGAUCUUUCCACACCAGCUCCGUCUCCUCAGGUCGGAUCAAGGUGUCCGGCCGGCAGAUGGUUUGAUCCAUCAACACAUCAGCCCUGUCGUCGACCUCCUGCUGUGGAAACCUCUUUUGUUGAACAUCCUCCAACACGAGACAAACAACCUUCCACUGACGUCCCACAAAGCCUCGGGCCGCGAGCCGGACUGAGCCGCGGUCACCGGGAGUGAAAGGAGCUCAGAUUGAUGGAGGCUCUGCCGUGAAAAGAGCCCGUUGCUAAAAGGCACACGUGCAGAUAUGCAUCACAAUAGCGUGAGCAUGUAUGGAGGCAGCUCUCAGUGAUGGAGUACAGCACAUGCAGAGACCAUCUGGAUAAUCAAGCAAAGGCUGGGGGUGGGGGGGGAGAACUCCUUCAUCCAGAAAGCUCUUUGAGAGGAAACUUUAUUUUAGAUCUUAAUGAAGAUUCUCUCUGAAGAGUCGACACUGAAUCUAGAAAAGGUUCCCGGGGGUCAUGAAUAUUCUUGGAACUCAACUACCAACCUGGAGCUCAGAUGUGGAGAUUCUGGAUUUAGCUUUAAAGUAGCAGGGAAGACGCUGACGGGCCAGUGACACGUGGACCUCUGCUGGUGUUUCCCGGACAGUGACAAUUUAAAAAUGAUAUUUUUAAAGCAUAAAAUCUAAAUAAGAAAAACCCAUUAAUGUAUUAAUGUUUCGCCCACACAGGUUUCAGAGAACCUUUCAGUCUUUGACCUGAGAAUGACUGUGUCUGCUCUUCAGAUGUGCACGUGCAAAGGAAUAGACCCACGUUCUAAUUUAUAUAUAAGCAGCAGAAAUGUUUUGCAGCCCAGCUCUGAGCCUCGAGCUCCGCAGGCUGCUCCUGUGACCUCACGGCUGCGACGUGCAGCAGCAGCUCUGAGACCUGAUAUGAGCGGGUGAGUCCGGAUCCCGUCCAAUCAGGUGCAUCGAUCACAGGAGACGAUCAAGAGAAAUGAGAGGCAGCUGUGUCACAGGAAAGAGUCUGAUAUUUUCCUUUUUAGUACAUUUUUAAAGGCUCUGAAUAUUUCCAGAAUCCACUGCAUUGCUGAUGAACCAUUUUCAAGCCACAGUUGCUUUGUAUCCUCUGGGGAAAGAUUUUAGGAGACAAGGAAAAGAAAAAUGAAUAAUUUCCAAGAAAAGAUAAUGUUUGAAAUAGUUAUUCAUAUUAUAAAUAUAUAGAUUUACAGGUGGGACUCAGAUGUUGUUGCUCUAAUCAGCCUCACACAGACUCCACUUGGGUUUUUUUUCAUAUUAAGAUGAGAAAGCUAAUAUCAGACAUUAGCCAGGUCCCGGUGCCACUCUGAUCUCAUUACGAGGCCACCUCCCGUCACCGAGAGCUGAUUUGCAGAGGGACUCAGGUGGUGGUCGUCAGAUUAACUGGUCGUGUGGCCUCGCGAGGGAGAAACUGCCAAUAAAAACGCAACUGAA